CACGUAGGGUGCGAGCGUUGUCCGGAAUUAUUGGGCGUAAAGAGCUCGUAGGCGGUGUGUCGCGUCGGCCGUGAAAACCUGCAGCUUAACUGUGGGCUUGCGGUCGAUACGGGCAUCACUGGAGUUCGGCAGGGGAGACUGGAAUUCCUGGUGUAGCGGUGAAAUGCGCAGAUAUCGGGAGGAACACCAGUGGCGAAGGCGGGCAUCUGGGCCACUACUGACGCUGAGAAGCGAAAGCAUGGGGAGCGAACAGG
rnacentral:rRNA from 1 species